AGGUAACAAUUUAGCCAGAGGUGACUUGCCGGCAUGUGACAAUAUAUAUUCAUCGUGACCUUAUAACAAUACAUGAAUAUUCUCAUCAAUUAGGAGGGAAAAAAAAUGAAUGUCAUUCAAUCUUGUAUUAUUAUGACCUGCAGGAAUUCUAUGUACAUAUAUAUACUUCAAAAAUUAGACCAAGCCGGCAAGUCAUCCUUGGCUGCACCGUAACGGCCUCC
rfam:Punica granatum cultivar Dabenzi scaffold133, whole genome shotgun sequence.